rnacentral:rRNA from 1 species
CCCGCAACCGGUUCGGAAACGGCCUUAAGGGUCGGUAAUGGCAGUUGGCCGGUGGCUCGCCUCGUGUGGGUCGUCGGUUGUUAGCCGUCCGAUCUUGGCUCGUGGCCGGACCGUGGUGUCGCGAGGCCCGUUUGGGCUUCUUCGCCUCCUCCGUUCGCGGACGCCGGGAUCCCGGGGCAGGGGUUCGCACUUCUGCGGGCGCACGGACCGACUCCGUGGCCCAGCGGUCGCAUGCGUCCUCGUUGGCCUCGGUGAACCCGUCGGAGGUUGGCGGUUAGCGGGGAGUAGAUCGGUCACCCACCCGACCCGUCUUGAAACACGGACCAAGGAGUCUAACAUGUGUGCGAGUCAAUGGGUCUCGAAUAAGCCCAGAGGCGCAAUGAAAGCAAAGGCAGGACUCGACGCCUGCCGAGUUGGGAUCCCCCUUCCUUCGCGUUGGGGGCGCACCAACGACCCGUCCUGUCCCAUUUAUGGGUUGGGCGGAGUUUGAGUGAAACUGCUCAAAGGUAAACGGGUGGCGUCAAGCUGCACGCCCAGAGGAUUCAGCCGGUUAGAGUGUAGAGGACCGCAGCGAUUCUGACGUGCA